rfam:Chloroflexi bacterium 13_1_40CM_68_21 13_1_40cm_scaffold_8174, whole genome shotgun sequence.
GGGCGAGUGGCGAAACGGAAUACGCGAGAGUUUUAGGAGCUCUUGCUCGAAAGAGCGUGAGGGUUCGACUCCCUCCUCGCCCA